AUUGAACGCUGGCGGCAUGCCUUACACAUGCAAGUCGAACGGUAACAGGUUAAGCUGACGAGUGGCGAACGGGUGAGUAAUAUAUCGGAACGUGCCCAGUCGUGGGGGAUAACGUAGCGAAAGCUACGCUAAUACCGCAUACGAUCUAGGGACGAAAGCGGGGGAUCGCAAGACCUCGCGCGAUUGGAGCGGCCGAUGGCAGAUUAGGUAGUUGGUAGGGUAAAGGCCUACCAAGCCGACGAUCUGUAGCUGGUCUGAGAGGAUGAUCAGCCACACUGGGACUGAGACACGGCCCAGACUCCUACGGGAGGCAGCAGUGGGGAAUUUUGGACAAUGGACGCAAGUCUGAUCCAGCCAUUCCGCGUGCAGGAUGAAGGCCCUCGGGUUGUAAACUGCUUUUGUACAGAACGAAAAGGCUCUGGUUAAUACCUAGGGCUCAUGACGGUACUGUAAGAAUAAGCACCGGCUAACUACGUGCCAGCCGCCGCGGUAA
rnacentral:rRNA from 1 species